rnacentral:rRNA from 1 species
GACGAACGCUGGCGGCGUGCUUAACACAUGCAAGUCGAACGGUGAAGCGCCUUCCUUUUUGGUGGGUGUGGAUGAGUGGCGAACGGGUGAGUAACACGUGAGUAACCUGCCCCCUUCUUCUGGAUAACCGCAUGAAAGUGUGGCUAAUACGGGAUAUUCUGGGUCUGUCGCAUGAUGGGUCUGGGAAAGAUAUUGUUUCGGUGGGGGAUGGGCUCGCGGCCUAUCAGCUUGUUGGUGGGGUGAUGGCCUACCAAGGCGGUGACGGGUAGCCGGCCUGAGAGGGUGGACGGUCACACUGGGGCUGAGACACGGACCAGACUCCUACGGGAGGCAGCAGUGGGGAAUAUUGCACAAUGGGCGCAAGCCUGAUGCAGCGACGCCGCGUGAGGGAUGGAGGCCUUCGGGUUGUGAACCUCUUUCGCCAGUGAAGCAGGCCUGCCUCGUUUGUGGGUGGGUUGACGGUAGCUGGAUAAGAAGCGCCGGCUAACUACGUG